CCUCGACUCGGUCAUGAAAAGCUUCGAGGAAGAGAUAGCAGCCGCAACCACUUCUUGCCAGUCGUCGCCGCGUCCGGCAUCGGAGACUCUGCUGGCUCCGGUGCCGGUGGUUGAUCUGACGUCGGAAUCUGGCGAGUCCAAACCCGACCUUGGCUACCUUCUAGAAGCUUCGGACGACGAGCUGGGCCUGCCCCCGCCGGAGAACUUCAAAGAGGAGGCGGCGAAAGGCGGGGAGAGCGAGUUGGUCCGAGUUCCGUCCGACUCGUCCGUAGCCGACGAGUUAUGGCAGUUCGACGAUCCCCCUCCGAGUACGCUUGACGGGCUGUUCGGAAACGACGAUGUGUAUUUUGACUCGGCUGAUUACGGCGAGUUUUCGUGGCGUUUCGAAACACUGCCGGCGCAGUAGAGCG
rnacentral:lncRNA from 1 species